rnacentral:rRNA from 1 species
UUGAACGCUGGCGGCAGGCCUAACACAUGCAAGUCGAGCGGUAGCACAGAGAGCUUGCUCUCGGGUGACGAGCGGCGGACGGGUGAGUAAUGUCUGGGAAACUGCCUGAUGGAGGGGGAUAACUACUGGAAACGGUAGCUAAUACCGCAUAACGUCGCAAGACCAAAGUGGGGGACCUUCGGGCCUCAUGCCAUCAGAUGUGCCCAGAUGGGAUUAGCUAGUAGGUGGGGUAACGGCUCACCUAGGCGACGAUCCCUAGCUGGUCUGAGAGGAUGACCAGCCACACUGGAACUGAGACACGGUCCAGACUCCUACGGGAGGCAGCAGUGGGGAAUAUUGCACAAUGGGCGCAAGCCUGAUGCAGCCAUGCCGCGUGUGUGAAGAAGGCCUUCGGGUUGUAAAGCACUUUCAGCGGGGAGGAAGGCGUUAAGGUUAAUAACCUUGGCGAUUGACGUUACCCGCAGAAGAAGCACCGGCUAACUCCGUGCCAGCAGCCGCGGUAAUACGGAGGGUGCAAGCGUUAAUCGGAAUUACUGGGCGUAAAGCGCACGCAGGCGGUCUGUCAAGUCGGAUGUGAAAUCCCCGGGCUCAACCUGGGAACUGCAUUCGAAACUGACAGGCUAGAGUCUUGUAGAGGGGGGUAGAAUUCCAGGUGUAGCGGUGAAAUGCGUAGAGAUCUGGAGGAAUACCGGUGGCGAAGGCGGCCCCCUGGACAAAGACUGACGCUCAGGUGCGAAAGCGUGGGGAGCAAACAGGAUUAGAUACCCUGGUAGUCCACGCCGUAAACGAUGUCGAUUUGGAGGUUGUGCCCUUGAGGCGUGGCUUCCGGAGCUAACGCGUUAAAUCGACCGCCUGGGGAGUACGGCCGCAAGGUUAAAACUCAAAUGAAUUGACGGGGGCCCGCACAAGCGGUGGAGCAUGUGGUUUAAUUCGAUGCAACGCGAAGAACCUUACCUGGUCUUGACAUCCACAGAACUUUCCAGAGAUGGAUUGGUGCCUUCGGGAACUGUGAGACAGGUGCUGCAUGGCUGUCGUCAGCUCGUGUUGUGAAAUGUUGGGUUAAGUCCCGCAACGAGCGCAACCCUUAUCCUUUGUUGCCAGCGGUUCGGCCGGGAACUCAAAGGAGACUGCCAGUGAUAAACUGGAGGAAGGUGGGGAUGACGUCAAGUCAUCAUGGCCCUUACGACCAGGGCUACACACGUGCUACAAUGGCAUAUACAAAGAGAAGCGACCUCGCGAGAGCAAGCGGACCUCAUAAAGUAUGUCGUAGUCCGGAUUGGAGUCUGCAACUCGACUCCAUGAAGUCGGAAUCGCUAGUAAUCGUAGAUCAGAAUGCUACGGUGAAUACGUUCCCGGGCCUUGUACACACCGCCCGUCACACCAUGGGAGUGGGUUGCAAAAGAAGUAGGUAGCUUAACCUUCGGGAGGGCGCUUACCACUUUGUGAUUCAUGACUGGGGUG